UCUCUAGGAGCUUAUCCUUCGGAUUUGCAGUACGUCCUUAACUUUUCCUUGGGGAAUGUAUAGGAAAAAGAAAGAAAAUCAGGAACGGAAACAGGAAUUCAAAUACCACUUAUCCCACGAGGGAGCCGAGACCCAAACUGCGAGCCUCUCUUUGAGCAGCCAGGAGCCAGGCUUCCUGGGGUGGGGAACUCAGGGCUCGCUUCUCAGGUCUAGUUCCUCAGGCUUGGGCUCCACUCUGGCUGCGAAGGCCCCAGACCACCUCACCCCACCCUGAGAACGACCUCUUGCUCAGCCACAUGAAGCACCCAGACCUGCAAGUGUCUUCGUGUUGCUUGGACCGAUACUGUCUCGGGUUGAUUCUGCACAGAACACGUAACUUCUUAUGUAGCUCAACUCAACUAUGUAGCUGAAGAUGGCCUUGAACUCUGGAUCCUCCUGCCUCCUCUGGAGGGAUGGAUUACAGUGCUCGAAGACUGGAAGGCAGAUAUCUGAAGGUGAGAAGAGAAAUGAACCAGCAGUCUGAAAAAUGAGAGCCCUAAGGUGAAGCUGAGGAGAAGGAAAUGAAGCCAAAGAGGCAAGUGGUGGAGACAAUACUUCCGUGUAAAAAUGUAUUUAU
rnacentral:lncRNA from 1 species